rnacentral:misc_RNA from 1 species
GUAGGUGAACCUGCGGAAGGAUCAUUAACACAAUACUUUCAUAUCAACCUUGGAGCAUCUGUCUGAACCUUUGUAUUGCAAACGCUGGUUAGGUAAUGGUUGGAUUUUCGAAUUCGGCCUUCCCAGCUAAUUACUCCUCGAGGUAAUAGUUUGACUCUCUUAGGUAUUACAGCCUCAACCAUGGCUGGCCCUUUUUUUUUAUAAAACUACUUGACAUUUUUACUGAUUUGGGCUUCGGAUCGAGAGGAGC